rnacentral:rRNA from 1 species
AUUGAACGCUGGCGGCAGGCCUAACACAUGCAAGUCGGACGGUAGCACAGGGGAGCUUGCUCCUCGGGUGACGAGUGGCGGACGGGUGAGUAAUGUCUGGGGAUCUGCCCGAUAGAGGGGGAUAACCACUGGAAACGGUGGCUAAUACCGCAUAACGUCGCAAGACCAAAGAGGGGGACCUUCGGGCCUCUCACUAUCGGAUGAACCCAGAUGGGAUUAACUAGUAGGCGGGGUAACGGCCCACCUAGGCGACGAUCCCUAGCUGGUCUGAGAGGAAGACCAGCCACACUGGAACUGAGACACGGUCCAGACUCCUACGGGAGGCAGCAGUGGGGAAUAUUGCACAAUGGGCGCAAGCCUGAUGCAGCCAUGCCGCGUGUAUGAAGAAGGCCUUCGGGUUGUAAAGUACUUUCAGCGGGGAGGAAGGCGAUGUGGUUAAUAACCGCGUCGAUUGACGUUACCCGCAGAAGAAGCACCGGCUAACUCCGUGCCAGCCGCCGCCGUAA